AUUAACAGGAUUAGAUACCCUGGUAGUCCACGCUGUAAACGAUGUCGAUUUGGAGGUUGUGCCCUUGAGGCGUGGCUUCCGGAGCUAACGCGUUAAAUCGACCGCCUGGGGAGUACGGCCGCAAGGUUAAAACUCAAAUGAAUUGACGGGGGCCCGCACAAGCGGUGGAGCAUGUGGUUUAAUUCGAUGCAACGCGAAGAACCUUACCUACUCUUGACAUCCAGAGAACUUUCCAGAGAUGGAUUGGUGCCUUCGGGAACUCUGAGACAGGUGCUGCAUGGCUGUCGUCAGCUCGUGUUGUGAAAUGUUGGGUUAAGUCCCGCAACGGGCGCAACCCUUAUCCUUUGUUGCCAGCGGUUCGGCCGGGAACUCAAAGGAGACUGCCAGUGAUAAACUGGAGGAAGGUGGGGAUGACGUCAAGUCAUCAUGGCCCUUACGAGUAGGGCUACACACGUGCUACAAUGGCGUAUACAAAGAGAAGCGACCUCGCGAGAGCAAGCGGACCUCAUAAAGUACGUCGUAGUCCGGAUUGGAGUCUGCAACUCGACUCCAUGAAGUCGGAAUCGCUAGUAAUCGUAGAUCAGAAUGCUACGGUGAAUACGUUCCCGGGCCUUGUACACACCGCCCGUCACACCAUGGGAGUGGGUUGCAAAAGAAGUAGGUAGCUUAACCUUCGGGAGGGCGCUUACCACUUUGUGAUUCAUGACUGGGGUGAAGUCGUAACAAGGUAGCCAAU
rnacentral:rRNA from 1 species